UGAGGCCUCGUGUUUUGGCAGUGAAGCGCUUACCUGGGCUGCCAGCACGCUGCCUGAUCCCCCUGCCCUGCCAGGGGCUGUGCUGUGCUUCUGGAGGAAUUUGAGCAAGGGGUUUCAGCUCUCACCUGGCUUCUCCCAGUUGAAGAGGUGUGCCGUUCUUACUGAAGGCAUGCAUAUGAAGAUUCAAAAAUGAGCACAGCCACAGAAGCAUUAGUAUGCAAUUAAGCCACAGGGCAGGCAACCUGAACAAGCCAGUAUACCAUUGGGUCAACAAAGCACAAAACACCUGGGCUCAAUGCGCUGAAUUGGUGGGUGCUAAUUAGCUCAGUCUUUAAUGCUUCCCCUAAUGAGCCUGUAUAAGCACUCUGCAUUGGGCUGCUCACCAGGAGAAGUUCUCCUGAUCCUCCAGAGCUGCUGCUCUCCUAUAGAGGCAGCUGUGCUGCAUGCAGGGCUGGCACCUCAUACAGGGCUGGUGCUGCAUCAGCUCUGCAGUGCUACCUGGCUGCAAACUGACCGGAGUCAAAUCCAACAAAACCUGGCUGCUGCAACUAUCACGAUGCUUGCCCUCCGGCCGGCAUGCUGGAUAACUGGCUUCCAAGGCAGUCAUUAAUCUCCCCCCAUUACCCAGCUGGCACAGGAAUUCACUGAGAGAGGAGAGCUGCCUGUGUGCCCUCCCAGUGGCAGCUCCCCAAGCCAUCCCCAAGAUGGAUGCACCGGAGCAACGCUCAAGGAAGCAGGGAUGUCACCAAGCACCAUCAGAGGAUCUUGGAUACAUGGGAUGAAUGCAACCUGCCUGUUGGCAACUGCGGAAGAAAGAAGCAGCGUGCAUCUCCAGGGAAAGAUGGCUGGGAUCAGAGCUAAGUUUAGAGAGUUACUUAUUCCACAGCAAUAGCAGCAGAGAGCAGCCCGAUGUAUGCAAGCUACGCAAGUGAAAGGGAGAUGCACAUAAGCCUUCAGCAAGAAAAUACAGCUCAGCAGUACUGUGCUUUCAUCCAACCAUUGGGUUUUGACCCAUCUGGGGUGACAGGGCUGAAAGUGCAUCAGGAGGUAUGUAAUUAACUGAGUGCAGACAGGAGCUGCUGCUCCAGCAAAGCCCUGGUGAAAUGAAAACAAAGCAGGCUGAGAAAGCAUCAAUGCACCAUCUACUGAAGAAGACAAAGUAAUCAGAAACAAGUUUUGUGCCCUUCCUACCUGAAACAGCCAUCUCCCUGCCUCCCACUGCUGUGUGGGAAUGUUUGAGCAUCUGCAUCGAAACACAAAUAACUUUUUCAGGGUGUUUUCUUGGCGUGUCAGCGAGAUGAUGCACAACAAACCUGUCAUAUCCUCUUGGUAACAGUGUUCAUUUGCCACUUUUUUGCACAAGAGCAUUGUGUAUACACACAACACUACACUAACCUGCAUUUGAUCUGGUGGUAGGACCAUAGUUCUCCCACGGCGAGGAAAAACACAGACAAGUUUUUGAUCUUCCUUAAAGCAAUGCUUAUCUCAGUUUUGUUUGUUUUCUGUUUUUUGAGUGCAGGGUAGCGUCUGAUGUGCGUGCCACCCACCACUGCUUAUCUCGGCAGCGAAGCAACCAUUGCAAACCAAAAUAACAGCAUCUUCCUCUGUGCCUGCCCUUCAAGCAGUGACAGGCAUGUUUUGGUAUCGCAGACCCCAGAGCGUUAAGCACCAGUCUCGCACCUGCACACUUGCUGAGAAAUGAGGGGUCCUUUGUUAAGGCUGGCGGAUUACAGGCAAGACGGCUCAAGCAACCCUUUCCUGAGGAUCCUCUGGAGGCACCGUCCCCUCUCAGCCCAAGCAAGCCUCCAAAAAUGUAAUUUUAGAACAUCUGCAGAAUGAGCACCUACAGCAAGAGUUCAAAGCAAUGCCCAGCCAGGAAAAUGAGUGUAAAGCAUGGGGCAUCAGCACGGAGCACUGACUUGCACUCCUGGGGAGACCAGCUGGAGACUAGCAGCCCCUGCAGCUGCCCACAGCUCCUCAACUUCCCAAUGCAAGGACUCUGGCAAGGCCGUGAGAAAACACGACCUCCACCAUCCCCAAGCACUGCUGGGGCCUCCAGCUGCUGGUCCCUUCCUUGCUAUCUGCGGACACUUUCCGGCUCACAAGCUGACACGCGAAGGAUAGCAACAACGACCCUGACGAGUCCCAGGGCGACAGAGGGAAGUGGUUUGAGAGGGGUUUGCUGGAGUCUGUGCACCCAACCAGCCCUCAACCACAUGUUUAGUCUUGUCCCAAUAGCUGUGUCAUUGGCAAACAAAGGACUUCAGCUGGCUACUUUCUCAUGAGCUUUUAAAGAGGGGCAAAAUGGAAAAGAAGCUUUGAGCAGGCAGAGGAAGGAACUCUUGGUUAGCUGGGGAGGAGACAGCCAUCAGCUGUCACACCGUCUGUCUGGCAGCAGCCGGCCAGGCAGCCCCACGCAAGCUUUCCGUCCCAAGCACAUCCUUCCUGGCAGGGAAGGACGCAGGCCCUCAGGAAGCUGCUGCUUCUCCUGCCACGCUCAGCAGUGGGGGUCCCAUAGGGCUCCCGGCGCCUAAAAUGUGUGCCAAAAAUAGAGCCCAGGAGGUGCUAUAUUUAGUGGAGCAAGUGGUGACUUAGGAAGGGCCCCUCCAGCAGAUGGGCAUGGCCUUGUGAUGGGUCCUGUUCCCCAGGUGAGGAUGCUGUGUUGUACCCAGGGAAACGUGCAGCCAUCUCCUCUCAGGGGAUUGUGGGGCAGUGAGGUGGAACAGAUGUCCCACCUCUGCAAGGAGACUUGGAGAGAAGAGCAUCUAAUUAAGACCACAGCUCCAGUUAAUUGAGCCCAAUUCACCUGUGACAUGAAGAGCCACAAUCCCAUCAGCAAUAAUGGGACUGCAUCGGCUUACACCAGUAAUUACUCCAGAUCAGCAGUAUAACAAAGCUAAUUCAAUACUUCUGCAGGUCCAGCUGCUCAGGCUGCCAGGGGGGUGCUGGAGACAGCCUCCCUUAUGCCCAGCCCCAAAAAGCUGGUGAUGCAGUGCACACUAGCAAUCCCUGCUGAGUUGUACUGCAGGGUGCUGGCAGGUGACUGUGUGCUUGGGGCCAUGCUGGAUGUGGUAGGGUGUCGCGUGAGCUGCUGGCGUGGGCAGACAUGCAAAUUGACAGCUGCACAACCCUGCCAUCAUCGCUACUGCUCCCAUGGGGCUAGGACAAGGGGAUGGGGAUGGGGAUGGGAAGCCUGCAUGGGGUGUCCUGGGCAUAUCAAGGACUGGGAAUGGCAGGGCAGGCCCUGGCUGCCUCAUUCAGGCUGCAGCCCAGAAUGUAGCCCAGCACAGCAAUUCUUUCCUACCUCCGGCCAAAGAAAACUCAGCUGCCACUGUUGUGAGGAGAGGAGCAUUACUGUAGGCCAGUCAAGUUUUGACUGGUCUGAUUUCCAUAACACACUCUGCAAACAUCUGCCUCCUAUUGCAGGCUGGGCUGCACUGGGACAGGUCUCUGAGCCAACACAUCCCCCAGGGCUCUGUCUGCUCUGGUGAAGACAAGUCACAGAUGUGUCUACCAGCAGCCACCACCUGUCCAGGUGCCCUUCCAGGGGUCCCGGCCUGGCUGUCUUCUCCAGAGAGGAACACAUACUAUGGGGCAUCCAUAGUGUCCUUUGGUGCAUCAGAGUUGCGUCUGUGCUGUUGAAUUGCAAGUGCUUCAGUGAGGUGCCCUAAAUGAGGAGCGUUACUGCUCUGCUGUUGUUGGGACAUUUGGCAUGGCCAGGUUGAGAAAGACAAAGGGAGAAAAGCCUCAUGCUGAGAAGCACAAGGCCAGCAAGCACAUUCCUCUGUGACACUCCAUCUCCAGGUUUGAAACAGAGAAGGCAGGCAGCUGGUGCUCGCCACAGUGGCCAGGCAGUGCCCUGCACCCUGGGCAGAAGAAGCCCACAGCUCCAUUCGCUCCUUUGUGUCCGCAAAGUGCAAGCAUCAAACAAAAACAAGCAAAGCACUCUGCAGGGUUGGCUACAGCACCUUCCGCUUCAGGUUUGGCUGAUUGAGCCCUGGCCCCAGGCUUGGCUGAAAGCCUCCUGGUUCAUCCUGCUUCAAACCAGCACGUUUCGAAACUUGUGCUUUGCAUCCUUCAGGAAGGAAACAAGAUCAGAAGGCACCACAUGUCUUUUCUGUACAGGAUUUCUCAUUUUGUCAUGACCUUCUGCUCUCUGCUUAGGCAUCAGCUGUCCCUACCACAGCUUCUCCCUCAGUCAGCAAGCAGCACGUCCCACACCUGGCAUUUCCAUUGCCAAGCCACAGACCUGCUUGCACUUUUGCAGCACACAUGAUGUCCUGCCCAGACAAUGUCACCAACCAGUGGGACCAGAAGAAACAGGCUGGCAUUGGCGGGACAGCUCCAGCCCCAGCUCAACCCCUGCUGCUGGCAACCCAGGGGACAGCUACUAAAAAAAACAAAGCAAUUCUCUUUAUUUGACCUCUUUUAUCGACACAGGGAUGAAUGGGAUUAGGUAUCAAGCUACACAUCUUUACAUGUUGUUGUUUCUUUUUUUUUGAACUGAGUGAGCAUUUAUGCUGUGUGGGGCAACUUCCAGCUUACGGAAAUCAGAUGGAAGGUGUUGGUUUUUCACACUGUGGGCCUCGUCUCUCACACCAUAUCUCACAGUAACAUCUAUGCUCAUUAAUUAACUCUUCUCCUUUCAGUUCGCAAUCCUAUAAACAUCUCUAUAGCAGCUGAUGUCAUUGUUUACACAGAAAAGUGUGACAUACAUUUCUCUCAGAGCAGCCUGAAGUGAGAAGAGCCAGCAGCAGGUUAGCAAGCAGCUUUCUGAAAUCCCCUCAAACCCACAGCAACAGCAGCACCAAGCAUCAGCGCCUCCAGCCCAGCACAUCUGCUGGUCCCCUGCACUUUGUUUACAGCCACGACAUGUCCCUGUCUGAUCUGCCGUUCCAUGAUUGACAUCAGUCAGACUUCCCACCUCUGCCAAUCAGUGUUCCCAACUAGUUCUGUGUUCUUGGAUCUAUCCAGACACAUAUCAGGGCCAUGGGGUGUGACGCUCUCCUCCUUGUAGGCAAAGGCUUGAGCCAUGUGCUCGAUUCAGUCAAGACAGCUAGCAUCAAAAAUAUAAUGAAUCAGCCAAUGAUCAAAAAAGAUAAAUAAGACUGCUCUUUUUUUUUUUCCUAUGUUAAAAACAUCCCUAUACGAUUUAAAUGCACAGCAAGGCAGGGGGAAGUGGGAACAUAUCACCAUAAGAAAAUGCCUUCAUUGUUUUUGUUUGAGAUUCCACAUUUUUCACCAAACAUUUAAUCAGAAAUCACAGUUCAUCUUUGAAGGGAUUUUUCAGAGCCCUCAGUUCACUGCUGCAGUCUGCAGCGGUUUUGCAGGGAGGGAGAGGCACAGCCUAGCCCCCUGCCUCGGCAUUUAGGGGCAUGCAGGAGGUGUGUGAGGGUGGGGAGAGCAGCUUGUGCUGAAGGCA